UGGCCAUUCAAAUCUGUAGGAGAGAACCUCCAUUUUAAGCAGCCCGUCCCUGGCUUCAGACUUCCCUUGUGGCUCAGACGGCUUCCUCAUCCCUUGAGACACAACAAUAAUAAAAUUAGGUCAAUUAAUGGCAUCUAUGGAGAAGGCAAUGGCACCUCACUCCAGUACUCUUGCCUGGAAAAUCCCAUGGACAGAGGAGCCUGGGAGGCUGCAGUCCAUGGGGUUGCUAGGAGUCGGACACGACUGAGUGACUUCACUUUCACUUUUCACUUCCCUGCAUUGAAGAAGGAAAUGGCAACCCACUCCAGUGUUCUUGCCUGGAGAAUCCCAGGGACAGCGGAGCCUGGUGGGCUGCCGUCUAUGGGGUUGCACAGAGUCGGACAUGACUGAAGCGACUUAGCAGCAGCAGCAGCAAUGGCCUCUAAGUAUUCAAGUGAAAGGAAGAGUUGCGUUUCUCUCAUUUUAAAUUGAAAGUCAGAAAUGAGCAAACUGAGUGAAGAAAGUAUGUGAAAAACUUUGCCUCUUGCACCAAUGAGUUAGUCCAGUUGUGAUUGCAAGGAAAAAGUUCUUGAAGGAAAUUAAAAAUGCUACUCCAGUGAACACAUGAAUGAUAAAAAAAGCAAAGCAGCCUUACUGCUGCUAUGGAGAAAGUUGUAGUGGUCUGGACAGAGGAGCAAACCAGCCGCAACAUUCCCUCAAGCCAAAGCCUAAUCCAGAGCAUCACCCUAGCUCUCUUCAGUUCUGUGAAAGCUGAGAGGUGACAAGCUGAAGAGGAAAAGUCUGAAGCUAGCAGAGGUGGCUUCAGGAGGCUUAAGGAAAGAAGCCAACUCCACAAUCAAAGGAGAGGGUGAAGAGAGCUUCCCUAGGGUCUUGGAUGGUAAAGACUCUGCCUGCAAUGCAAGAGACCUGGCUUUGAUCCUUGAGUUGGAAAGAUGCCCUGGAGAAGGGAAUUGCAACCCACUCCAGUAUUCUCACCUGGAGAAUUCCAUGGACAGAGGAGCUUGGUGGGCUACGGUCUGUGGGGUCACAAAGAGUUGGACAUGCCUGAGUGACUAACAUUUUCACUUUCCAUUUUUAUAGGGUGUAGCAGCAAGUGCUGAUGCAGAAGCUGCAGCAAGUUAUCCAGAAAAUCUAGCUAAGAUCAUUAUUGAAGGUGGCUCACUAAACCGCAGAUUUUCAAUGUAGAUGAAAUAGCAUUCUAUUGGAAGAAGAUACCAUCUAGGACUUUCUUAGGUAGAGAGGAGAAACAAAUGUGUGGGUUCAAAGCUUUAAAGUACAGGCUGACCCUCUAGGGGCUAAAACAGCUGGUGACUCUAAGUUGAAGCCAAUGCUCAUUUACUAGUGCAAAAAUCCUAGGGUCCUUAAGAGUUACACUAAAUCUAUUUUACCUUUGCUCUAGAAAUGACACAACAAAGCUUGGAUGACAGCACAGUUGUUUAUAACAUGGUUGACUGUAUAUUUUAAGUCCCCUGUUGAGGCCUACUACUUAGAAGAAAAAGAUUCCUUUCAAACUAUUAUUACUCAUUGACAAUGCCCCUUAUUACUCAGGAGCUCUCAUGGGGAUGCAUAAUGAGAUCAACAUUGCUUUCAUGGCUGCUAACUGUACAAAAAAAAAUCUUCUUGACCCAUAUAAUCACGAUGGUGUGAUCGCCUACCUAGAGCCAGACAUCCCUGGGAUGAAGUCAAGUGGGCCUUAGGAAGCAUCACUAUGAACAAAGCUGGUGGAGGUGAUGGAAUUCCAGUUGCGCUAUUUCAGAUCCUAAAAGAUGGUGCUGUGAAAGUGCUGCCCUCAAUAUGCCAGCAAAUGUGGAAAACUCAGCGGUGGCCACAGGACUGGGAAAGGUCAAUUUUCAUUCCAAUCUCAAAGAAAGGCAAUGCCAAAGAAUGCUCAACUAUUGCACAAUUAUACUUCUCUCACAUGCUAGUAAAGUAAUGCUAAAAAUUCUCCAAGCCAGGCUUCAGUAAUACGUGAACUGUGAACUUCCAGGUUUUAGAAAAGGCAGAGGAACCAGAGAUCAAAUGGUCAACACCCUUGGAUCAUCGAAAAAGCAAAAGAGUUCCAGGAAAACAUCUAUUUCUGCUUUAUUGACUCUGCCAAAGCCUUUGACUGUGUGGAUCACAAUAUACUGUGGAAAAUUCUGAAAGAGAUGGGAAUACCAGGCCACCUGACCUUCCUCUUGAGAAAUCUGUACAACAGUCAGGAAGCAACAGUUACAACUGGACAUGGAACAACAGGCUGGUUCCAAAUAGGGAAAGGAGUACGUCAAGGUUGUAUAUUGUCAUUGUGCUUAUUUAACUUAUAUGCAGAGUACAUCAUGAGAAAUGCUGGGCUGGAAGAAGCACAAGCUGGAAUCAAGAUUGCCAGGAGAAAUAUCAAUAACCUCAUAUAUGCAGAUGACACCACCCUUAUAGCAGAAAGUGAAGAAGCACUAAAAAGCCUCUUGAUAAAAGUGAAAGAGGAGAGUGAAAAAGUUGGCUUAAAGCUCAACAUUCAGAAAACUAAGAUCAUGGCAUCUGGUCCCAUCACUUCAUGACAAACAGAUGGAGAAAGAGUGGAAACAUUGUCAGACUUAAUUUUUUUGGGCUCCAAAAUCACUGCAGAUGGUGAUUGCAGCCAUGAAAUUCAAAGAUGCUUACUCCUUGGAAGGAAAGUUAUGACCAACCUAGACAGCAUAUUAAAAAGCAGAGACAUCACUUUGCCAACAAAGGUCCAUCUAGUCAAGGCUAUGGUUUUUUCCAGUGGUCAUGUAUGGAUGUGAGAGUUGGACUCUAAAGAAAGCUGAGUGCCGAAGAAUUGAUGCUUUUGAACUGUGGUGUUGGAGAAGACUCUUGAGAGUCCCUUGGAUGGCAGGGAGAUCCAACCAAUCCAUCCUAAAGGAGAUCAGUCCUGGGUGUUCAUUGGAAGGACUUGAUGUUGAAGCUGAAAUUCCAAUAUUUUGGCCACUUGAUGUGAAGAGCUGACUCACUUGCAAAGACCCUGAUGCUAGGAAAGAUUGAGGGCAGGAGAAGGGGACGACAGAGGAUGAAAUAGUUGGAUGGCAUCACCAACUCAAUGGACAUGAGUUUGAGUAAACUCUGUGAGCUGGUGAUGGACAGGGAGGCCUGGCGUGCUGCAGUCCUUGCAGUUGCAAAGAGUCGGACACGACUGAGUGACUGAACUCAACUGAACACAAUAUUCAUUCUGCAUCUCAUAGAUUAAGCAGUAGUUUUAAACUUUAAGCCUUAUUAUUUAAGAGAUACAUUUCAUAAGGCUAUGGCUUCUAUAGGUACUGAUUCCUUUGAUGGAUCUGGGCAAAGUAAAUUGUAAACCUGUUUAAAAGGACUCAAUAUCUUGUCAUCUACCCUGUCAUAUUCACCUAUUGCCAUCCUACUCUAGAAGCCAUUAGGAACAUUUGUGAUUCACGGGAAAAUGUCAAAAGAUCAACAUUAAUAGGAGUUUGGACGGUUUUGAUUCCAACCCUCAAGGGUGACUUUGAGGGAAUCUAGACUUCAGUAGAAGAAAGAACUGCAGAUGUGGAAAUAAUAAGAGAAGCAGAAUUAGAAGUGAAGCCUGAAGAUGUGACUGGACUGCUGCAAACUCAUGAUAAAAAACAGAUGAGGAGUUGUUUCUUAUGAAUGAGCAGAGCUAGUGAUUUCUUGAGAUGGAAGCUGCUCCUGGUGAAUAUGAUGUGAAGAUGGUUGAAAUGACAAGACAGAAUUUAGAAUAUUUCAUAAACUUAGUUGAUAAAGCAGCAGCAGGGUCUGAGAGGAUAGACUCAAACUGGAAAGAAGUUCUACUGUGGUAAAGUGUUAUCAAACUGCAUUGCAUACUACAGAGAAAUUGUUUGUGAAAGGAAGAGUCAGUCAAUGCUGUAAACAUCAUUUGCUAUUGUAUUUAAAGACAUUGCCACAGCCACCCCAACCUUUAGCAACCACCACUCUGAUCAGUCAGCAGCCAACAAUCCUGAGGCAAGACCCUUCAUCAGCAAAAGAAUUAUGACUCAUUGAAGGCUCAGAGGACUGUUAACAUUUUUCAGCAGUAAAGUACUUUUUAAUUAAAGUAUGCACAUUGUUUUUUAGAUAUAAUGCUAUUGCACACUUAAGAGACGACACAGUGUAGUUUAAAAGUAAGUUUUAUAGGCACUGGGAAACCAAAAAAUUCCUGUGACUUGUUUUAUUGUGAUGUUUGCUUUAUUGCAAUGGUCUGGAACUGAACCUUCAGUAUCUCUGAGGUGUGCCUAUAUAAAACAGGGAUGGAGUAGGUAGAAUUCCAAGUAGAACAUAUAACAGAAGUAUAGGAUCAUAAAGGUUUGUAAGAGAAGUAGAGUGGAGUGUAAUGCAAAAUUAGCAUGUUCCAAUCUGAACUCUUCUUUUCCCUAAGAUAUCAUCAAAGAUACAGUCACUAAGGUGCAAAGCCGGGAAUCAUCCUGGACGCUUUCAUUGAAUAUCUACAUCCAAUCAGACACUUAAUGAUGAUUCUACUCUGCAGCCGCCUGGACGUCAGUCCUUUGGUCUUGGCUAUUGCCCUCAGUCAGGUCCACAUCAAUCCUUGUCAUACUUUUCAUCUCUGCCACCAACAAUCCUCAACUGUUAUCCAGUCUCCCAAAUGUUGGCGGCUGAGACUUGCCAAAUAGAAAUUGGAUUUCAUCACUUUCUUGAAGUCCUCAGUGACUUCUUGGGCCAGUAGGGAAAUGAACAACUCUCCAGCUAAAGGCCUCCCUUGGUAUGCCUCUGCCUUCCCUCCCCAGGUAAUAAAUCUAUAACAAGCCAUGAUGACUGGUCAUGCCUCACCACUUCCGCUGACUAGAAUGUGGUCCCCAUCCUUUGAAUGGCUUCAUAUACCCACUAUCCCACACUUGGUCAAUAGUUUGCCUGAUAUGUUAAUAUUAAUAGGAUUCCAGGUUGGAUAGUUCCCCCUCAAAACUUUGAAGGCAUUGAUCCAAAUUCUUCUCCCUUUUAAAGAUACAGUUGAGAAGUCUGAUGCCAUUUUGAUUUCUGAUUCUUUGUACAUGACCUGAUUUUUUCCCCCCACUGUCUCUGAAAGCUUUUAAGGUCUUUAUAUCUAAUGAUCUAAAAUAUCACAGUUUUAUAUCCUUCUGUGGGUCUUUUUCACUCAUUUUUCUGGCGAUAUAUGGUGGAUUCUUUUGAUCAAGAAAUUUAUUUCCUUUAGAUACGAGGAAUUUUCUUUUAUGAUUUCUUUACUAACUUCUUUUCAUUCAUUUUCUCUUGUCAUUUUUUUCUUGAACUCCUACUCUUUGGAUGUCAUAUUCCCUAAAUUGCUAUUCUAAUCUUUUCCUUGUUUUCCUAUUUCCUUGGUGUUUACUUUUUCUUUUCUAGGUUUCCUCAAUGUACCUUCUAAAUAUCUAUUGACUUAAAACAUUUUAAAUUAUAUUUUUAAUUUCUAAGAGUGAUUUAUAACUCUCUUAAGGCUUCAUUAAAAAUUCUAUCUUCUUUUAAUUUAUGGAUGGAAUAGGUCUCUGAGAAUAUUAAGGACAGUUUUACUUUUCUUAUUUUAGUUAUUUCACAUAUUCCUUGUAUUAUCUCUGUUUCCUCUAGCUUUUUAAAAUUUAUUUUAUUUUUUUCUAUUUGUCUUGGUUUCUCUGUUCCAGGUUAGAGGCUUUGCACGUUUUAAGUAUAUUCCUAUCUUAGAGUGAGGCACCAUGAAGAACUGAUUAGAGGCUCUGUGAUUGUGUGUUUGUUGGUGAGUGUGUUUUGGGAGAGGGCUGGGUUUGAUCCCUGGGUGGGGAAGAUCCCUGGGAGAAGGGAAAGGCUACCCACUCCAGUAUUCUGGCCUAGAGGAUUCCAAGGACUAUAUAGUCCAUGGAGUCACAAAGAGUUGGACACGACUGAGCGACUUUCACUUAAGGGACUUCCUUGGUGGCUCAGAUGGUAAAAGUGUCUGCCUAACAAUGUGGGAGACCAGGGUUCAAUCCCUGGGUCGGGAAGGUCCCCUGAAGAAGGAAAUGGCAACCCACUCCAGUACUCUUGCCUGGAAAAUCCCAUGGAUGGAGGAGCCUGGUAGGCUACAGUCAAUGGGGUAGCAAAGAGUUGGACAGGACUGAGUGACUUCACUUUCACAAGGCUUAGCUCUCUCAUCUCUCUUGGUAUAUAUUUUCAAAGGGUUGUUAUGAAUGAAGAGUGAGGCAAUGUAUGCAUGUGUGAAUACCUGUGCUUGUUAAAUGGGGAGCUUUGAUGCAGGAUGAUUGGAUCAGUCCAAUAUCAGUACCCUUAGGUUUUUUUUUUUCCUCUCUGCAGAGAGGAAUAUUCCAUUCUUAUAUUCUGGAGAUAAAAGGUGAUACCUGGCAGUAUAAUCCCUGGGGCCAGCACACUGGUAGAUGAUGAAAGGAAAGAGUGUAGAGAAUCUCAUCUUUUCUAAUAUGAAAUUUCCCUGGAUUCCCUUGGAUUCUGUACAAUGUCUCACCUCACUCUCAGCUUGCAGAUUCCUGAGUGGUAAUUGAUACCUCCUUUCCUGAGCUUUUCUGGGGUUUGGCCUACUCAUUACUAUUCUCCUGCCUAAGCACUUUUAACUUUUCUUUGAUCUGCAGUGUCAGCUAACUCAUAUUUAUCUCUCUCCAUUUUCCAAGAUUUUGCAGAUAAGUCUUAUCAACUAUUGUCUUUACUUUCUUUUUCUUUGUCCUUGUGGUUUUCUGUUUUUUACCUUAAUUCAAAAAAAUGUCUUUACUGUCACUCUAGAUGGGUUUGGGUGGUGAUGGUGAUACAUAUGUAUAUUCAACCUGCAAUGCCCUAGCAACAGAGGUCAAUACCUCUAUUGCAGGCCAUGGUCAAGUCUGACAUAGGCCUGAUAAUGCAGUUAGUGAAAGUCGCUCAGUGGUGUCUGACUCUUUGUGACCCCAUGGACUAUACAGUCCAUGGAAUUCUCCAGGCCAGAAUACUGGACUGGGUCUUCUCCAGGGGAUCUUUCCAACUGAGGGAUCAAACCCAGGUCUCCCACAUUGCAGGUGAAUUCUUUACCAGCUGAGUCACAAGGGAAGCUUGAUAAUGCAGUUAGGAGGUACAUAAUUGUGGUCCAUCAAGAAUUUCUUGUAUAGUAAAUGGCUGAACUUACGGGUGAUGAUACAGUCCCUUCUGUUGCCUAAAAGUUUGCACAUCUGAGACCUUGGGGUGUGGGCUCCUCUGGCCUUGCAGUUUCUUCUUACUAAGCACAGUGAAGUUUAGAACUUCUUAAGAAAUAAGCAAUUCAUUUGAAGUAGUCUCUACUUAUCUGUACCCUUGAUUUUUUGCAUAUUAUUGCACUCUAGUUGCAAGUUCUGGGAGCUAAUCAAAGGGAAAGCAACCUUAAAUUAAGUCUCCAUCUCCAUUAUUAGCUUUUUGUCUCUGACCUAACUUAACCUCCCAGUUCUAGGAAAAAGAAUUGGCUGCUAUAUUUUUUAUUCCCUUUCUGCCUUGGUAUGUUCUGUUCAAAAUUUCUAACAUUUAAAAAAGGUAUUAGUUUUCAUGUAUUUCCUCUGUCUACCAGACUAUAAUCUCCUUGAAGGCAGGACUAAAUCAUAUUCACUAUCAUUCCCAGUGACAUCCUUGGCACAUAAUAGAUGCUCAGUAUUUAUUUGUUAUAUGAAUGAAUACAGAGAUUAAUGACAUGUCAGAUGAAAUACAUAAAAUUAUCUCAGUUGUUCUGGUCAUCUGCAAAGACUUACAGAGAGAUGAGUAUUUAUGGUCCUUAUUAGGAGAGCAAGUCAUCUUCAAAGAUUAAAUAGUGUUUUUUAAUUCUUUUCAUUAAGAAUUAAAGUCUCUGCUUCUAUUUUUUGGCAGCAUGUUUGUUUCUAUAUCUGUGUUAAAAUGGAUUUUAUUCUGCUUAGUGUUACAGUUUGGCUAUUCAACUACUUUCAUAAGAUUAUAAUUUACUUGAGGGCAGAGGUUGUACCAAUAAUGUCUGCCUUCUCAUAGUGCAAAGAACAAUGAACAGACACAAUGAGCUUAAUUCUUGCUUGCAGCUGAGUUGUCACUGUCCUGAAUCUGUCACACAUGCGAAGGUGAAAUGUGUGCUGGUGAGGGUGUGAGGCUAUCAGUGAAUAAGGGAAGAAAAUUAGCAGAGAUUUGCUGUUCAUUCCGAGUCACUAUACUGCAAGAAAUAGAUCACCUAAAACUUUAAUUUACUGAGCAGACUCAUACUAUCCUCUCCAACCUAUCGGUUGCUUUUUUGCCCAUAAAGAACCUUCUUGAUGUCUCCAUGUAACAAAUACUUGACACAUAAGUCAGUGAUACAUCGAUAUACCCUAUAAAAAUUGAUAGUCCCCACCAAAGCAGCCAAUGAUUUGAAUAGUUUUAUCCUAUUAUACUUAUUAUACUUACAUAGAAUUGAUUUUAUUUAAUUUUGGACAAUAUCAUGGGAAAAUACGAUUUCCCCUCCACUUUCUUCUCAAAAGAAAGGAGCAUAUUGUGUAGAGCGAGUGGCACUGAUUCCUUGAAAAUACUGAAUGCCAAGGAAAAUGUGUUAACUCUAGAGUGAAGUGAGGAUCACCUGCAAUGAUCAGUUUAUGUGUCUGAAAACUCAUCCAAGUGGGUGGCAUGAUUCAGCUCUCAAGUAUGAGUUGAGGUACCUGCUCCAUGUGGCAUAAACACAGAGUCUAGGAUGUGGAUAGUUGUUUCUGGAACAAUGUUAUUAAGUUUCUUCAAACAUUUAGAAAGUAUAUUUAUUUUAAUCACUGUAAUCAUAACAGGAAUGUGUGUAGGUGCUUAAGAUAAUACAAAUGCUAUCUAUAUGACAUAAGUCAUACAAGUCACAGAGCAGUGAAAAUGGUUUCCCAAAUUGCAAAGAGCCAGGAUAACCAAUAUAUUUUAUGUUGAAAAUCUGGGUUCAUUUUAUACCAAGGAACAAUUUAAUGGUGACAGCAAAAAAAAAAAAAAAAAAAGGGCCUAAGGUUUAGCUGAUUUCUGAAACUAGUUUAUAACACUAUCUUUAAAGUGUGAUUGUGUGUGUGCUUGUGUAUAUAAAUAUAAGUAAAUAUAAAUUUUGGAUCAGGUAUAAGCUUCUUUGAAAAAACACGUAACAGGAACAAAUAUUAGUUUGAGGAUAAUUAAUAAAUUGAAUACUUAAAUUUAAAGGCCCCUGGAAGUUGUAAUGGCUAAAGAUUUAGGACAAUCCAGUUCAAGACUCUGUGGGGAAGUGAGCCAGCCCCAUGGGCUAGGAGUAGAGCAUGUGAGAGCCCCAGCAUGCCGUGGUCCCAAGGCCAUGAAGGUCAUUCAGGUGCUACACUGACUUUCCUUCUUUCUCAAGGCUGUGUACCCUCCUGCACCUAACCAUGGCUUGUUAUUUGGGGCAGUCGGCCUGGAGCCUCCUCUAACUUCAUGCAUUUGCUCACUUCAGUUGUGUUCUCCAUGCCUGUUACCUGACCCAAAUCAUGAUCACUUGCUUUAUUGGGUGGGUUUACCUUGGAUUAUACCUUAAGCUCAUGAAAUCUUUAGUGACUCAAGAGGACAGGUUAAUUCUUUCCCUGGACGGUCCAAAGAUUGCAGAAUUUUUUAUUUUGUCAUUGAGGAUAAAUGGGGUAAUUUGAAUAAAUAUGGAGUAAGGAUAGAGCUGGAGUCUCUGGGGAAAGUUGAGCCAGAUAAAAUGCAAUGCUUCUUUCUGAGUUUUUUAAAUCCUCAGUUAUUAGAAUAAAAAAUACUUUCGAUUUCUUCUAGGACUCUGUUGAGCUGUGAAAAUGGAUAGAAAUAGGGUUGUUUUAUAACUUUCAUUUUCCUAACAAACGGUGAAAAAUAAAUAGAAUUUUCUGCCUUUAUCUUCCUGACACUUCCCAGGUCUGGCCUGCUUUCUGGCUUUUCAUGAUCCUCUGUGUCCUUAAUUCUUUCAUAACUCCAGGUACUUAUUUCUACUGCCUACUGAAUAUCCUUCUGUCUAUAUUCACCUAUAUCCAAAACCCAGCAUUUCUUUACAAAUUCAACAUUGUCUUGCUAAAACAGUCACUAUCUUUUGCAGUCAUCUUUGACCACACUCUCUCCUUUAGCCCUUCUAUCUAAGUAUAGUAGUUUCUACUAAUUUUCAUCUCCACAGUAGUUUAUGUAGGUGUUCUAAUUUUUAAAAUCAUCAUUGUUCUCAUUUACUGUUUGGAUACUACUACUAGUCUGGUUCAUGUAGGACAGACGUGAUGAAUGCUUGUUCCUUCACCAUUAUUUAUCAUCUUAAUUGCCUAUUACCUGGAUUAUUCUAGUACUAUUCUAACUGACCUCCCUGCUUACCUCUCUGUCACUCCCCUAAUUUACACUAUAUAUAGCUGCCAGCUCACUCUUUCUUUCUUUUUUUGUUCACGACAUGUGGCUCGUGGGAUCUUAGUUCUCUGACCAGAGAUCUUGGACCUGGGUAGUGAGAGCACAGAGUUCUAACCACUGGACUGCCAGGGAAUUCCCUGGAUCACUCUUCUUAAUGCACUGGCCUGACCAGUUGUUAUUAUCUAAUUAUAUCCAAAGCGGGCAAGGCUUUAACCAAAUGUGAUUCUACCUUUCAGCUGAAAUUCCAAAAGUACUUUUAAGACACAUUUCUGAAGGCAACAAAAAUUGUUUUCUUCAAUUUUUUUACAUAUAUAUAAAUGAUGCUAAACAAAAUGAGUGGACCAUAUCUUACAAUUAAGAGCCAAACUUCUAGUACCCACAGAUGGCAAAACCAGUUGAGUCCCAUUCUACAGUUAAACCUUAACAAGUCUUUUUUCUUUCUGGGCACACCAUGAAUAUCAUUUAUAUUGGGUAAGAAUGCAAUUUGUUAAUCACCAAAUGGACUCAAGAAUUUUAACAGCUUAGAUAAUCAAUUUUUAUUCAGAUGGUGCUAUCUUCCUAGAGUACUAGCAACAAAAACAAUGUAAUAUGUGAUUCAAUUAAAGAAUGCAUCAUUAACUUUUUGGUAGAAAAAUCUGUUUUGCUAAUAGUUUUUUUUUUUUUUUCUAACAGAAGUAAUAUUUAUUGUAAGAAUUCUAACAAUAUGGAAGUGUGGGAAGUAAAAUGUGGAACUUUCCUCCCUCCAAUCUUACAGCCCACAGCUAAUAAUUGAGCUUAAAUCUGUUAACAUUUUUUCUAUACACAUACAAGCAUUUUAAAUGAAUGAGCAUUCAUAGUAUGUAUAUUAUUUCUGUUACAGAACUAGGAACACACUAGUAAACAUACUGUCUGCCCGCCAGAUCCCUCUGGAGCCUGUUUACCUGCUCCGGCCAUCCUUUCGCCUGGGUUUAUUUCCUGUAGGCUGUCCUUGGGCUACUAGUGGGGCUUGGUGGUUCAAAGGGAUGGACGCAUUUGGGAGCUGAUGACCGACUAGAUCAGGCUGCAGCCUAGGGCUCCAGAGCUCCUUCCAGGAUCACACUGAGGCUGAGCCCACCUAAAUUCACACUCUAUUCGCCUCUUCCAAGGCCUGCUUGCUCUACUUCCUGUGAGUUUCUGCUGGAGCCCUUCCUUAAUGUGUCAUUUGUAUGCAAAUCCUCAUUUCCGGGGACUGUGGCCCAGAGAACCCAGUCUAGAGCAAUCAGAUAUGUCAAAUCAACCUUUCUGCUUUGUCACUCAGGGGUAUUAAACAAGUCUUUCAGUAAUCUCUCCUAGGUUCUCUGCUCAACGUCUUCAUGCCCUUUAAGUGCUCACUUUCCAAAUGUGAGAAAACUGCUACUGACCUAGCGUUUUUCUUUUGUUUUCAGAAAAGUGGUGAAAUUAAAAUUACAAAUGUACACCAGCAUUCUCUCACACACAUUAACUAAACAUUGAGCCAGGAACAGGGGUAAAGUAAACAGAAAAUCUGAACGAAACUGACCCAUGUGAGGGAGAAUUUGUGACUGUCUCCAUGGUCUCUAAACCAAAUGACCUCAGGCCUUAUAUGGGGCCAAUGAAAUUUCAGGAUCAGAAAUGAGGUUAACAACUUUAUAAGACCCUUAAAAUUUUAAAAAGAGAUUUUAGAUUAUGAUAAUUAAGAUAAAAUCAAACAUAACGUAUAGCCUUGCAACUGUUUUGUUCUCUGACUUUCAGAGAAACAACUAAAACAAACAGACCUAAUUGCUGUUAUCAAGAUCCUCCAACUGCUUGCCAUCCAGGAGGAGUCACCUAGGAACUUGAUUGAGCAGAUUCCCAGCUCCUACCCAUUGGAAAAUCUAGUUCCCCUCCUGAUCGCCCAUGAUUCAUCACUUCAAGCUUGCCCAGCAGUACGGCCAGUUUUCACUGAGCCCAAAAGACAGCAUGCAGGAGCAGAGACGGUAUAGAAGAUGAAGAGGACUGGCUUCAAAUCCCAUUUCUGCCACUUGUUGAAUCUGGGACCUCGGGAAUAUAUGAACAGAAAGCCUACUUGAUUCCGGAGUUCAGAAAACCAACCUCUACUAUCACCAGAGCUAUCUUUGAACCUCUGUAAAGGAAAUUUUAGCCUGAGGCAAAAUUCCCAAGAGUGCUAUACAGAAAUGGAGACAAAAGGUAGAUAUAUAAAGCUUCUGAGAUGGUAAGUAGGGCAAAUGAAGCAUUCAGGUUUCUAUGCUUGGGGUAGCAUUUCCAGAGCUGUAAUAUGACUUUCAUGGGUAUUGGGCAUUUUUGCCUUUUUUGGACUUUUUCUCCAUUACAAACUGGUAAAAAUUAUAUUUAAUGACUGUGGUAUAAAGACAAAUGUAAUCCAGACUAGACGUGUUCAUUUUUUUCUUCUUAUUUGAAAAGAUACUGAAAUCAAAACAUUUCAUGGAUCCUAAAAGUACUGUGGGCUCUAGACAGUGCCUAUCGUGUCCAGUGGGAAAGGCAGUCCUGAGAAUUGCCAAAGUAUAUUAUUGUCCCUGCCAGACCAUAACCUUCUUGAAGGUGAGACCACGCCUUAUGUACUGUACUCCCCUCCUCCUCAGCCACUUAGAAUCUCUUGGUUGAAUAGUAUCUGUCGAAAGAAUAAAUGGGCAAUUAAUUUCAGGGUUGUCAAAUAUUUCAUUAGAGGAUAAAAGUAAUAACUUCACUGCAAGAACUUUAGGUUUCCUCCAAAGAUCUAAUCAAAUUAAUACAAAUUACUAAAAUAUAUCUAAGUACCACCAUGUGAUGGAAAGAACUCUUGAAAUUAUGUCUAGCUGCUAAGUAGCAGUGUAGCUAGUCAUUUCAUAACUUUGACCUUCAGCUUCUUAAUGAGUAAGCGAAAAUAUUAAUUAAAAUGAAGGGAUUCUAUACACAGUUCUAAUCAGAAGUCAGAACAAUAGCUAAAAUUUUUGUAGUAGUCAGGUCAUGAAAUACCUAAUAGGCUUUCAAAACAGUCCCAGUGGUAAGCUCCCCAGUCCAUUUGAAAAUUAAACUCUUUCAAAAAUGUUAAUCAUGGAGGAUAUGGUUACAGACUGCAUAAUAUGCUUUCAAAGGACAAUGGAUGGGCCCUUUCUAGGAGUAAACAAAUCAGAAAGUUCUUAAAAUUCAAUAAAAGUCCUAAUAAGCCACCUAACUUAAUUUUCUUCCAAUACAGGCCUCUCCUUAGAGAGUAUUCUUACCUGUUUUUUGUCAUAUCCUAUUUGAAAACCAUAAUACCCUGGGCCACAGUAUUUUGUCUCUUCCAGGAAUUUUGCCCAGUUCAACUUACAACGUGUAUAAAAGAGGUUGUGGAGCAGUUAAUGUAUCACCAAAUCAGCAACACUCACGUAA